CACGUAAACAACCUGCCUUCAGGAUGGGGACAACAGACGGAAACGACUGCUAAUACCGAAUGUGUUCCGGAGACCGCAUGAUUUCCGGAAGAAAGGAUGGCCUCUAUUUAUAAGCUAUCGCCUGAAGAGGGGUUUGCGUCUGAUUAGGCAGUUGGUGAGGUAACGGCCCACCAAACCUACGAUCAGCAGCCGGUCUGAGAGGAUGAACGGCCACACUGGAACUGAGACACGGUCCAGACUCCUACGGGAGGCAGCAGUGGGGAAUCUUCCGCAAUGGACGAAAGUCUGACGGAGCAACGCCGCGUGAGUGAUGACGGCCUUCGGGUUGUAAAGCUCUGUGAUCGGGGACGAAUGGCUGGUGCGUUAAUACCGCAUCAGAGUGACGGUACCCGAAUAGCAAGCCACGGCUAACUACGUGCCAGCAGCCGCGGUAAUACGUAGGUGGCAAGCGUUGUCCGGAAUUAUUGGGCGUAAAGCGCGCGCAGGCGGCUUCUUAAGUCCAUCUUAAAAGUGCGGGGCUUAACCCCGUGAUGGGAUGGAAACUGGGAGGCUGGAGUAU
rnacentral:rRNA from 1 species